UAGCUGCAUCGAAUUCAAAUUCCUUUUGAUGAAGUGUGAAAUUCGAAUUCAUAAAGCAAGACAUGCUCAUAUGUAAUCGGUUUGUGAUAUUCUAUUUUUUUUUCUUUAUUUUUUAAGAGCCCAUCACACAAUCUUUGAAUAAAUACAAUGGGCAUAUAACAAAUCAUGCAAUUGAGACAGAAUUAGUUGGACCAAAUCCCAAACAAUAGAAUCUAAGGAGAUGUUUAUUAUGUGAUAUAUGCUCCA
rnacentral:lncRNA from 1 species